rnacentral:rRNA from 1 species
UACAGAGGUCUCAAGCGUUGUUCGGAUUCAUUGGGCGUAAAGGGUGCGUAGGUGGCGCGCUAAGUCAGGUGUGAAAUUUCGGAGCUUAACUCCGAAACUGCAUUUGAUACUGGCGUGCUUGAGGACUGGAGAGGAGACUGGAAUUCACGGUGUAGCAGUGAAAUGCGUAGAUAUCGUGAGGAAGACCAGUGGCGAAGGCGGGUCUCUGGACAGUUCCUGACACUGAGGCACGAAGGCCAGGGGAGCAAAACGGG